UGGGGUAACUAGGGAUCCAUCACUGCAUUGAAGAAUGUGGUGGCAGCAUCAUGCUGCGGGAAUGUUUGCCAGUGGCAGGAAUUGGGAGAUUAGUCAGGAUUGAGGGAAAGAUGAAUGCAGCAAUGUACAGA